GGCGGACGGGUGAGUAAUGCUUGGGAAUCUGGCUUAUGGAGGGGGAUAACUGCGGGAAACUGCAGCUAAUACCGCGUAUUAUCGAGAGAUGAAAGGGUGGGACCUUCGGGCCACCUGCCAUAAGAUGAGCCCAAGUGGGAUUAGGUAGUUGGUGGGGUAAAGGCCUACCAAGCCGACGAUCUCUAGCUGGUCUGAGAGGAUGACCAGCCACACUGGGACUGAGACACGGCCCAGACUCCUACGGGAGGCAGCAGUGGGGAAUAUUGCGCAAUGGGGGGAACCCUGACGCAGCCAUGCCGCGUGAAUGAAGAAGGCCUUCGGGUUGUAAAGUUCUUUCGGUAAUGAGGAAGGGGUAUUAUUGAAUAGAUAAUAUCAUUGACGUUAAUUACAGAAGAAGCACCGGCUAACUCCGUGCCAGCAGCCGCGGUAAUACGGAGGGUGCGAGCGUUAAUCGGAAUAACUGGGCGUAAAGGGCACGCAGGCGGGCUUUUAAGUGAGAUGUGAAAUCCCCGAGCUUAACUUGGGAACUGCAUUUCAGACUGGGAGUCUAGAGUACUUUAGGGAGGGGUAGAAUUCCACGUGUAGCGGUGAAAUGCGUAGAGAUGUGGAGGAAUACCGAAGGCGAAGGCAGCCCCUUGGGAAUGUACUGACGCUCAUGUGCGAAAGCGUGGGGGAGCAAACAGGAUUAGAUACCCUGGUAGUCCACGCUGUAAACGCUGUCGAUUUGGGGAUUGGGCUUUAUGCUUGGUGCCCGAAGCUAACGUGAUAAAUCGACCGCCUGGGGAGUACGGCCGCAAGGUUAAAACUCAAAUGAAUUGACGGGGGCCCGCACAAGCGGUGGAGCAUGUGUUUAAUUCGAUGCAACGCGAAGACCUUACC
rnacentral:rRNA from 1 species